rnacentral:rRNA from 1 species
UAAGGCGAGGCCGAAAGGCGUAGUCGAUGGGAAACGGGUUAAUAUUCCCGUACUUGGUGUUACUGCGAAGGGGGGACGGAGAAGGCUAUGUUGGCCGGGCGACGGUUGUCCCGGUUUAAGCGUGUAGGCUGGUUUUCCAGGCAAAUCCGGAAAAUCAAGGCUGAGGCGUGACGACGAGGCACUACGGUGCUGAAGCAACAAAUGCCCUGCUUCCAGGAAAAGCCUCUAAGCAUCAGGUAACAUCAAAUCGUACCCCAAACCGACACAGGUGGUCAGGUAGAGAAUACCAAGGCGCUUGAGAGAACUCGGGUGAAGGAACUAGGCAAAAUGGUGCCGUAACUUCGGGAGAAGGCACGCUGACACGUAGGUGAAGUGAUUUACUCAUGGAGCUGAAGUCAGUCGAAGAUACCAGCUGGCUGCAACUGUUUAUUAAAAACACAGCACUGUGCAAACACGAAAGUGGACGUAUACGGUGUGACGCCUGCCCGGUGCCGGAAGGUUAAUUGAUGGGGUCAGCGCAAGCGAAGCUCCUGAUCGAAGCCCCGGUAAACGGCGGCCGUAACUAUAACGGUCCUAAGGUAGCGAAAUUCCUUGUCGGGUAAGUUCCGACCUGCACGAAUGGCGUAAUGAUGGCCAGGCUGUCUCCACCCGAGACUCAGUGAAAUUGAACUCGCUGUGAAGAUGCAGUGUACCCGCGGCAAGACGGAAAGACCCCGUGAACCUUUACUAUAGCUUGACACUGAACAUUGAGCCUUGAUGUGUAGGAUAGGUGGGAGGCUUUGAAGUGUGGACGCCAGUCUGCAUGGAGCCGACCUUGAAAUACCACCCUUUAAUGUUUGAUGUUCUAACGUGGACCCGUGAUCCGGGUUGCGGACAGUGUCUGGUGGGUAGUUUGACUGGGGCGGUCUCCUCCUAAAGAGUAACGGAGGAGCACGAAGGUUGGCUAAUCCUGGUCGGACAUCAGGAGGUUAGUGCAAUGGCAUAAGCCAGCUUGACUGCGAGCGUGACGGCGCGAGCAGGUGCGAAAGCAGGUCAUAGUGAUCCGGUGGUUCUGAAUGGAAGGGCCAUCGCUCAACGGAUAAAAGGUACUCCGGGGAUAACAGGCUGAUACCGCCCAAGAGUUCAUAUCGACGGCGGUGUUUGGCACCUCGAUGUCGGCUCAUCACAUCCUGGGGCUGAAGUAGGUCCCAAGGGUAUGGCUGUUCGCCAUUUAAAGUGGUACGCGAGCUGGGUUUAGAACGUCGUGAGACAGUUCGGUCCCUAUCUGCCGUGGGCGCUGGAGAACUGAGGGGGGCUGCUCCUAGUACGAGAGGACCGGAGUGGACGCAUCACUGGUGUUCGGGUUGUCAUGCCAAUGGCACUGCCCGGUAGCUAAAUGCGGAAGAGAUAAGUGCUGAAAGCAUCUAAGCACGAAACUUGCCCCGAG